rnacentral:rRNA from 1 species
UACGUAGGGGGCUAGCGUUGCUCGGAAUCACUGGGCGUAAAGCGCACGUAGGCGGCUUACUAAGUCAGGGGUGAAAUCCUGGAGCUCAACUCCAGAACUGCCUUUGAUACUGGUGAGCUUGAGUCCGGGAGAGGUGAGUGGAACUGCGAGUGUAGAGGUGAAAUUCGUAGAUAUUCGCAAGAACACCAGUGGCGAAGGCGGCUCACUGGCCCGGUACUGACGCUGAGGUGCGAAAGCGUGGGGAGCAAACAGG